CGGGACACGUGGUAUCCUGUCUGAAUAUGGGGGGACCAUCCUCCAAGGCUAAAUACUCCUGACUGACCGAUAGUGAACCAGUACCGUGAGGGAAAGGCGAAAAGAACCCCGGCGAGGGGAGUGAAAAAGAACCUGAAACCGUGUACGUACAAGCAGUGGGAGCACGCUUAGGCGUGUGACUGCGUACCUUUUGUAUAAUGGGUCAGCGACUUAUAUUCUGUAGCAAGGUUAACCGAAUAGGGGAGCCGAAGGGAAACCGAGUCUUAACUGGGCGUUAAGUUGCAGGGUAUAGACCCGAAACCCGGUGAUCUAGCCAUGGGCAGGUUGAAGGUUGGGUAACACUAACUGGAGGACCGAACCGACUAAUGUUGAAAAAUUAGCGGAUGACUUGUGGCUGGGGGUGAAAGGCCAAUCAAACCGGGAGAUAGCUGGUUCUCCCCGAAAGCUAUUUAGGUAGCGCCUCGUGAAUUCAUCUCCGGGGGUAGAGCACUGUUUCGGCAAGGGGGUCAUCCCGACUUACCAACCCGAUGCAAACUGCGAAUACCGGAGAAUGUUAUCACGGGAGACACACGGCGGGUGCUAACGUCCGUCGUGAAGAGGGAAACAACCCAGACCGCCAGCUAAGGUCCCAAAGUCAUGGUUAAGUGGGAAACGAUGUGGGAAGGCCCAGACAGCCAGGAUGUUGGCUUAGAAGCAGCCAUCAUUUAAAGAAAGCGUAAUAGCUCACUGGUCGAGUCGGCCUGCGCGGAAGAUGUAACGGGGCUAAACCAUGCACCGAAGCUGCGGCAGCGACGCUGAUGCGUUGUUGGGUAGGGGAGCGUUCUGUAAGCCUGUGAAGGUGUGCUGUGAGGCAUGCUGGAGGUAUCAGAAGUGCGAAUGCUGACAUAAGUAACGAUAAAGCGGGUGAAAAGCCCGCUCGCCGGAAGACCAAGGGUUCCUGUCCAACGUUAAUCGGGGCAGGGUGAGUCGACCCCUAAGGCGAGGCCGAAAGGCGUAGUCGAUGGGAAACAGGUUAAUAUUCCUGUACUUGGUGUUACUGCGAAGGGGGGACGGAGAAGGCUAUGUUGGCCGGGCGACGGUUGUCCCGGUUUAAGCGUGUAGGCUGGUUUUCCAGGCAAAUCCGGAAAAUCAAGGCUGAGGCGUGAUGACGAGGCACUACGGUGCUGAAGCAACAAAUGCCCUGCUUCCAGGAAAAGCCUCUAAGCAUCAGGUAACAUCAAAUCGUACCCCAAACCGACACAGGUGGUCAGGUAGAGAAUACCAAGGCGCUUGAGAGAACUCGGGUGAAGGAACUAGGCAAAAUGGUGCCGUAACUUCGGGAGAAGGCACGCUGAUAUGUAGGUGAAGUCCCUCGCGGAUGGAGCUGAAAUCAGUCGAAGAUACCAGCUGGCUGCAACUGUUUAUUAAAAACACAGCACUGUGCAAACACGAAAGUGGACGUAUACGGUGUGACGCCUGCCCGGUGC
rnacentral:rRNA from 1 species